GAUGAAGAACGUAGCGAAAUGCGAUAAGUAGUGUGAAUUGCAGAAUUCAGUGAAUCAUCGAAUCUUUGAACGCACAUUGCGCCCCUUGGUAUUCCAUGGGGCAUGCCUGUUCGAGCGUCAUUUGUACCUUCAAGCUUUGCUUGGUGUUGGGUGUUUGUCCUGAGGGACUCGCCUUAAAGUAAUUGGCAGCCAGUGUUUUGGUUUUGAAGCGCAGCACAAGUCGCGAUUCAAAGCUAUACGCCAGCUUCCACAAGCCUUUUUCACUUUUGACCUCGGAUCAGGUAGGGAUACCCGCUGAACUUAAGCAUAUCAAUAAGCGGAGGA
rnacentral:misc_RNA from 1 species